rnacentral:rRNA from 1 species
AGCGAACGCUGGCGGCAAGCCUAACACAUGCAAGUCGAACGGAUCCUUCGGGAUUAGUGGCGGACGGGUGAGUAACACGUGGGAACGUGCCCUUUGGUUCGGAACAACUCAGGGAAACUUGAGCUAAUACCGGAUGUGCCCUUCGGGGGAAAGAUUUAUCGCCAUUGGAGCGGCCCGCGUCUGAUUAGCUAGUUGGUGAGGUAACGGCCCACCAAGGCGACGAUCAGUAGCUGGUCUGAGAGGAUGAUCAGCCACACUGGGACUGGGACACGGCCCAGACUCCUACGGGAGGCAGCAGUGGGGAAUCUUGCGCAAUGGGCGAAAGCCUGACGCAGCCAUGCCGCGUGAAUGAUGAAGGUCUUAGGAUUGUAAAAUUCUUUCAGCGGGGACGAUAAUGACGGUACCCGCAGAAGAAGCUCCGGCUAACUUCGUG